UGGGGAAUAUUGCACAAUGGGCGCAAGCCUGAUGCAGCAACGCCGCGUGAGGGACGACGGCCUUCGGGUUGUAAACCUCUUUUGGCAGGGAAGAAGCGAAAGUGACGGUACCUGCAGGAAAAGCACCGGCUAACUACGUGCCAGCAGCCGCGGUGAUACGUAGGGUGCAAGCGUUGUCCGGAAUUAUUGGGCGUAAAGAGCUCGUAGGCGGUUUGUCGCGUCUGCUGUGAAAACCCGAGGCUCGACCUCGGGCCUGCAGUGGGUACGGGCAAACUAGAGUGCGGUAGGGGAGAUUGGAAUUCCUGGUGUAGCGGUGGAAUGCGCAGAUAUCAGGAGGAACACCAAUGGCGAAGGCAGAUCUCUGGGCCGUAACUGACGCUGAGGAGCGAAAGCAUGGGGAGCGAACA
rnacentral:rRNA from 1 species